rnacentral:rRNA from 1 species
AUUGAACGCUGGCGGCAUGCCUUACACAUGCAAGUCGAACGGCAGCACGGGGGCAACCCUGGUGGCGAGUGGCGAACGGGUGAGUAAUGAAUCGGAACGUGCCCAGUAGUGGGGGAUAACCCGGCGAAAGCCGGGCUAAUACCGCAUACGACCUACGGGUGAAAGCGGGGGACCGUAAGGCCUCGCGCUAUUGGAGCGUCCGAUGUCUGAUUAGCUAGUUGGCGGGGUAAAGGCCCACCAAGGCGACGAUCAGUAGCUGGUCUGAGAGGACGACCAGCCACACUGGGACUGAGACACGGCCCAGACUCCUACGGGAGGCAGCAGUGGGGAAUUUUGGACAAUGGGCGCAAGCCUGAUCCAGCCAUGCCGCGUGCGGGAAGAAGGCCUUCGGGUUGUAAACCGCUUUUGGCAGGAACGAAACGGCGCAAGCUAAUACCUUGCGCUAAUGACGGUACCUGCAGAAUAAGCACCGGCUAACUACGUGCCAGCCGCCGCAGUAAAAC